rnacentral:rRNA from 1 species
AUUGAACGCUGGCGGCGUGCCUUACACAUGCAAGUCGAACGGCAGCACGGGAGCAAUCCUGGUGGCGAGUGGCGAACGGGUGAGUAAUAUAUCGGAACGUGCCCAGUCGUGGGGGAUAACGCAGCGAAAGCUGUGCUAAUACCGCAUACGAUCUAAGGAUGAAAGCGGGGGAUCGCAAGACCUCGCGCGAUUGGAGCGGCCGAUAUCAGAUUAGCUAGUUGGUGGGGUAAAGGCCCACCAAGGCGACGAUCUGUAGCUGGUCUGAGAGGACGACCAGCCACACUGGAACUGAGACACGGUGCAGACUCCUACGGGAGGCAGCAGUGGGGAAUUUUGGACAAUGGGCGCAAGCCUGAUCCAGCAAUGCCGCGUGCAGGAUGAAGGCCUUCGGGUUGUAAACUGCUUUUGUACGGAACGAAACGGCCCUUUCUAAUACAGGGGGCUAAUGACGGUACCGUAAGAAUAAGCACCGGCUAACUACGUGCCAGCAGCCGCAGUAAAAC